rnacentral:rRNA from 1 species
AUCUACCCUUUGGCCUGGAAUAACACGAGGAAACUUGUGCUAAUACCGGAUAAGUCUUUACGGAGAAAGCUUUAUGCACCAUUGGAUGAGCCUGCACUUGAUUAGUUUGUUGGUGGGGUAAUGGCCUACCAAGACUGUGAUCAAUAGCUGAUUUGAGAGGAUGAUCAGCCACAUUGGGACUGAGACACGGCCCAAACUCCUACGGGAGGCAGCAGUGGGGAAUCUUGCACAAUGGAGGAAACUCUGAUGCAGCGAUGCCGCGUGAGUGAAGAAGGCCUUUGGGUUGUAAAGCUCUUUCGUCGGGGAAGAAAAUGACUGUACCCGAAUAAGAAGGUCCGGCUAACUUCGUGCCAGCAGCCGCGGUAAUACGAAGGGACCUAGCGUAGUUCGGAAUUACUGGGCUUAAAGAGUUCGUAGGUGGUUGAAAAAGUUAGUGGUGAAAUCCCAGAGCUUAACUCUGGAACUGCCAUUAAAACUUUUCAGCUAGAGUAUGAUAGAGGAAAGCAGAAUUUCUAGUGUAGAGGUGAAAUUCGUAGAUAUUAGAAAGAAUACCAAUUGCGAAGGCAGCUUUCUGGAUCAUUACUGACACUGAGGAACGAAAGCAUGGGUAGCGAAGAGGAUUAGAUACCCUCGUAGUCCAUGCCGUAAACGAUGUGUGUUAGACGUUGGAAAUUUAUUUUCAGUGUCGCAGCGAAAGCGAUAAACACAC